AGCCUACGGGGGGCAGCAGUGGGGAAUAUUGCACAAUGGGGGAAACCCUGAUGCAGCAACGCCGCGUGAGUGAAGAAGUAUUUCGGUAUGUAAAGCUCUAUCAGCAGGGAAGAAGAUGACGGUACCUGAUUAAGAAGCCCCGGCUAACUACGUGCCAGCAGCCGCGGUAAUACGUAGGGGGCAAGCGUUAUCCGGAUUUACUGGGGGUAAAGGGAGCGUAGACGGCAUAGCAAGUCUGAAGUGAAAGCCCAAG
rnacentral:rRNA from 1 species